GUACAUUUUAGGAUGUUUUGCUGUUAAUAUCAAAUAAUACCAAAUGCACAUUAAUGUUUUGAUUAUAAAAAUAAUAAUGAACUAAAAAGUUACUCAAGAAAAGGGGAAGGAAAUGAAUUUUAGAGGACUUUCUAAAGUUGAGACAUACAUAACCAAAUUCUCAGAAAGACCAAAUUCCCAAUUCCUAGAUUUCUGAAGCUCGGUCCUAAUGCUUACGAUUUGGUUUCCCUCUCCAGUGCCAUUCCCCAGACUUAGUGUUACAUUGUGAAUACACGUGUAGUUGUGAAUGAUGUACAGUUUUCUGGAUUUGUACUAACAUAUCUUACUAAGUUCACACACUAGAAAGUGAAAGCUUGAUGUCAGAUCAGGGGUAAAGGUGAGAACAAAUGAAGCAUGAUGUAUUUCACUGAUUUAGUUAUUCCAGUCCUUUCUUCUCAAUGUUGUUACUCCUGCUUAUCUAAAACCCUUGUGUUAUUUCAUUCAGAAAUGGUCAAUUCUUGAGCUUCAAAGUCUUUUAAGAGAGUCUUAAUAUUUUUCAAAUUGUGAGGAAGAUAACACCUUAAGCUUUUGCCUCUCAGAAUUUGUGACAAAAACCACUGUAGGAACAAUUGAUCAUGAUCUUAAUUUAUAGAAAGAAACCAACCCUUUCUUAAAGAAAUAUGUUUGAAUGUUCCAAAAAUUUAAAACGCAAUCCUGUGAGUAUAAUGAACAUAUAUCCACAAUCUGUCAGUUUUAAUUUCUUUUUUUUAAAAAAAAAGUAUUUAGUUUUUAGUUGUAGUUGGACACAAUAUCUUUAUUUAUUUAUUUAUUUAUAUGUGGUGCUGAGGAUUGAACCCAGGGCCUCGCCCAUGCUAGGCAAGUGCUCUACCACUAAGCCACAAUCCUAGUCCCUUAAUUUAUUUUUAAUACAUAUAUAUUUUUUUACACUGGAGGUAGAAUGUGUUUUCAACCAAGCUCCCAACAUGAUUCAUUUUGAAGUUCUAGAUAACUCAGGUGACGUGGUAUUCCAGUUUGAAAAGACACUAUUCAGUAAGGUCCUAUUGGUGUUAGGUUGAGAGUACUGAAAGACCCUAGGAGAAGGCAUCAAAUGCCUUGGCCAAGAGGAGAUAUUGAGAGCCAGACACCUGAAAUAAGAGUUAUUGAAUAAUAAAUGGAGGCAAGGGGGAGAAUAUCCUGAACACUUAUGUCAUUUUACAAGUGCUUACAUCCACGUAGCUAUACUCUCUGUGCAGAGGCUGAGAGAGCUUCAUUGUCUUGGCACUUGUCCCUCUUGAUAAGCUGGGACAGCUUGAUAAGCUGUAAUCAGUUUAAGUAAUUUUCACAUGUUAAUGACCAAGAGGAUAAAAUUCAUAAUAAGCUACAGGAUAGUUAUUGUAAGACUGAGAUUGUCACCCUUAAUCUUUUUUUUUAAAUAGAUAUAUUUUUAGUGUGGAUUAACCUUUAUAUUUAUUUGUUUAUAUGUGGUACUGAGAAUCAAACACAGUCCUUCACAUAUACUAGGCAAGCACUCUACCACUGAGCCACAACCACAGCCCAUCACUUUUAAUCUUUUUCUAACAUUCCCAUUUUUGAUAAACAUAAAAAUUUCACAUCACACACAUGCUACUUAUAGACAUUCCCAAAUCUUCCUAAACCCUAUUCCCUUUUUCAAACAUACACCAAAAAUUAUUUGAAAAUCAACAACCCCACCUGGAAUCCAAAAACUACAUUGAAGCUUUACUUACCCUGUUUCAUAUUGUAGAAAUUAUGACAUUGUUUCAUUUUUAAUUGCAAAAUACAUUAAAGUGGUAUUUUUCAUACUGUACCCCUUUGAACUACAUAAUCUUCUUUUUCUCUAGGGAAUGUUUUACCCCUAGCCAGCACCUUGUUGUACUUCAUCUUAACAAUUCAACCAUGUCUGUUGGAAAAUGAAGAGAGUGUUUCCACAUUGAAAUGCACUCUCAACACUUUAGACUAGUUAUUCUAUUUCAGUGUCUCAGGUUCUGAAUUUACAGUCAAGGAGAUUAGUGAAAUGUGGCAAUUAUCUUAGUAGAAUAAAUACCCCUUAUGACAAAGGAGCACCUUGUGGCAGUUGUCCUGGACAUUGUGAAGAUGGACUAUGCACCAAUGGUUGUGAUUAUGAAGAUGGCUAUGCUAACUGUCAAG